rnacentral:rRNA from 1 species
GCAGCCGCGGUAAUACGGAGGAUGCGAGCGUUAUCCGGAUUUAUUGGGUUUAAAGGGAGCGUAGACGGGGGAUUAAGUCAGUUGUGAAAGGCUGCGGCUCAACCGCAGCACUGCAGUUGAUACUGGUUCCCUUGAGUUCGGUUGAGGUGUAUGGAAUUCGUGGUGUAGCGGUGAAAUGCUUAGAUAUCACGAAGAACUCCGAUUGCGAAGGCAGUACACUAAGCCGUCACUGACGUUGAGGCUCGAAAGUGUGGGUAUCAAACAGGAUUAGAUACCCC